GCUUAUGACUGUGAGAAGCUUGUGUGCCAGGACUGUGAAAACACUGUGGGCUGUGUGGGAGGCUUCAGGUUGUGACUGGGAUUUUGGGUAGUCACUGUGAGAGGUUCCACAUGCUCAGGGCUCCCUGAUUCCCAGGUGAGGGUCAUUGCUGUUUAAUCUCUGCUUACACCACAGAUCCUAUAUGUGGACGAAUAUCAUACCCUUGGGGAGCUAGUACCGGGGUACUGGUCUCCUUUGAGGAGAGGUAAGCUGAGACUACACCGAGAGAGCAGAACAAACCUCCCCUCUGACCA